rnacentral:rRNA from 1 species
UAGGGAAUCUUCCGCAAUGGGCGAAAGCCUGACGGAGCAACGCCGCGUGAGUGAUGAAGGUCUUCGGAUCGUAAAACUCUGUUAUUAGGGAAGAACAAAUGUGUAAGUAACUAUGCACGUCUUGACGGUACCUAAUCAGAAAGCCACGGCUAACUACGUGCCAGCAGCCGCGGUAAUACGUAGGUGGCAAGCGUUAUCCGGAAUUAUUGGGCGUAAAGCGCGCGUAGGCGGUUUUUUAAGUCUGAUGUGAAAGCCCACGGCUCAACCGUGGAGGGUCAUUGGAAACUGGAAAACUUGGGUGCCGAAGAGGAAAAGGGAAGUCCAUGUGUAGCGGUGAAAUGCGGAGGGGUAUGGAGGAACACCAGAGGCGAAGGCGACUGUCUGGUCUGUAAAUGACGCUGAAGUGCGAAAGCAUGGGGAUCAAACAGG